rnacentral:rRNA from 1 species
GUCGACGAAGCAAUUAAGAUGAAGUUUUCGGAUGGAAUCUUGAUUGACUGAGUGGCGGACGGGUGAGUAACGCGUGGAUAACCUGCCUCACACUGGGGGAUAACAGUUAGAAAUGACUGCUAAUACCGCAUAAGCGCACAGUGCCGCAUGGCAGUGUGUGAAAAACUCCGGUGGUGUGAGAUGGAUCCGCGUCUGAUUAGCCAGUUGGCGGGGUAACGGCCCACCAAAGCGACGAUCAGUAGCCGACCUGAGAGGGUGACCGGCCACAUUGGGACUGAGACACGGCCCAAACUCCUACGGGAGGCAGCAGUGGGGAAUAUUGCACAAUGGGCGAAAGCCUGAUGCAGCGACGCCGCGUGAGUGAAGAAGUAUUUCGGUAUGUAAAGCUCUAUCAGCAGGGAAGAAAAUGACGGUACCUGACUAAGAAGCCCCGGCUAACUACGUGCCAGCAGCCGCGGUAAUACGUAGGGGGCAAGCGUUAUCCGGAUUUACUGGGUGUAAAGGGAGCGUAGACGGCGAAGCAAGUCUGAAGUGAAAACCCAGGGCUCAACCCUGGGACUGCUUUGGAAACUGUUUUGCUAGAGUGUCGGAGAGGUAAGUGGAAUUCCUAGUGUAGCGGUGAAAUGCGU